GACGAACGCUGGCGGCGUGCUUAACACAUGCCAGUCGAACGGAAAGGCCCUGCUUUUGUGGGGUGCUCGAGUGGCGAACGGGUGAGUAACACGUGAGUAACCUGCCCUUGACUUUGGGAUAACUUCAGGAAACUGGGGCUAAUACCGGAUAGGAGCUCCUGCUGCAUGGUGGGGGUUGGAAAGUUUCGGCGGUUGGGGAUGGACUCGCGGCUUAUCAGCUUGUUGGUGGGGUAGUGGCUUACCAAGGCUUUGACGGGUAGCCGGCCUGGGAGGGUGACCGGCCACAUUGGGACUGAGAUACGGCCCAGACUCCUACGGGAGGCAGCAGUGGGGAAUAUUGCACAAUGGGCGGAAGCCUGAUGCAGCAACGCCGCGUGCGUGAUGACGGCCUUCGGGUUGUAAACCGCUUUCGCCUGUGACGAAGCGUGAGUGACGGUAAUGGGUAAAGAAGCACCGGCUAACUACGUG
rnacentral:rRNA from 1 species